rnacentral:rRNA from 1 species
ACGAACGCUGGCGGCGUGCUUAACACAUGCAAGUCGAACGGAAAGGCCCUGCUUGCCGGGUACUCGAGUGGCGAACGGGUGAGUAACACGUGGGUGAUCUGCCCUGCACUUCGGGAUAAGCCUGGGAAACUGGGUCUAAUACCGGAUAGGAGCCAUUUUUAGUGUGAUGGUUGGAAAGUUUUUUCGGUGUAGGAUGAGCUCGCGGCCUAUCAGCUUGUCGGUGGGGUAAUGGCCUACCAAGGCGGCGACGGGUAGCCGGCCUGAGAGGGUGGACGGCCACAUUGGGACUGAGAUACGGCCCAGACUCCGACGGGAGGCAGCAGUGGGGAAUAUUGCACAAUGGGCGCAAGCCUGAUGCAGCGACGCCGCGUGGGGGAUGACGGCCUUCGGGUUGUAAACUCCUUUCGCUAGGGACGAAGCUUUUUGUGACGGUACCUAGAGAAGAAGCACCGGCUAACUACGUG